GUGGACUAGUGGUUAAGACGCUGGGCUACGAACCCAAUGCUCGUGGGUUCGAGCCCGGU
rnacentral:tRNA from 11 species